rnacentral:rRNA from 1 species
GAUAAGGUUAAGUGAAUAAGGGCGCACGGUGGAUGCCUUGGCACUAGGAGCCGAUGAAGGACGGGACUAACACCGAUAUGCUUUGGGGAGCUGUACGUAAGCUAUGAUCCAGAGAUUUCCGAAUGGGGGAACCCAGCAUCUUUAAUAGGAUGUUACGAUUGUGUGAAUACAUAGCACAUUCGAGGUAGACGCAGAGAACUGAAACAUCUAAGUACCUGCAGGAAGAGAAAGAAAAUUCGAUUCCCUGAGUAGCGGCGAGCGAAACGGGAAAAGCCCAAACCAACAAGCUUGCUUGUUGGGGUUGUAGGACUCCGAUAUGGUCGUUCUUUCAGAU